AGAGUUUGAUCAUGGCUCAGAAUCAACGCUGGCGGCGUGCCUAACACAUGCAAGUCGAGCGAGAAAGUGUAGCAAUACAUGAGUAAAGCGGCGCACGGGUGAGUAACACGUGGGUAAUCUGCCCUCGAGUGGGGAAUAACACCGGGAAACCGGUGCUAAUACCGCAUACGAUCACGAUUUCUUCGGAUUUUGUGAUGAAAGGAGCAAUUCGCUCUUGGAGGAGCCCGCGGCUGAUUAGCUAGUUGGUGAGGUAAUGGCUCACCAAGGCAACGAUCAGUAGCCGGUCUGAGAGGACGGUCGGCCACACUGGAACUGAGACACGGUCCAGACUCCUACGGGAGGCAGCAGUGGGGAAUUUUUCGCAAUGGGGGCAACCCUGACGAAGCAGCGCCGCGUGGAUGAUGAAGUAUCUCGGUACGUAAAAUCCUUUCGACGGGGAAGAAAACCGCAAGGUUUGACGGUACCCGUAGAAGAAGCCCCGGCUAACUCCGUGCCAGCAGCCGCGGUAAUACGGGGGGGGCAAGCGUUGUUCGGAAUUACUGGGCGUAAAGGGCGCGUAGGCGGUUCGCUAAGUUGAAUGUGAAAACUCUGGGCUUAACCCAGAGCCUGCAUUCAAUACUGGCGGGCUAGAGUUCUGGAGGGGAUAGCGGAAUUCCUGGUGUAGCGGUGAAAUGCGUAGAUAUCAGGAGGAACACCGGUGGCGAAGGCGGCUAUCUGGACAGAGUCUGACGCUGAGGCGCGAAAGCUAGGGGAGCAAACAGGAUUAGAUACCCUAGUAGUCC
rnacentral:rRNA from 1 species